AUUGAACGCUGGCGGCAUGCUUUACACAUGCAAGUCGAACGGUAACAGGCCGCAAGGUGCUGACGUGUGGCGAACGGGUGAGUAAUGCAUCGGAACGUGCCCAGUCGUGGGGGAUAACGCAGCGAAAGCUGCGCUAAUACCGCAUACGAUCUAUGGAUGAAAGCGGGGGACCGUAAGGCCUCGCGCGAUUGGAGCGGCCGAUGUCAGAUUAGGUAGUUGGUGGGGUAAAGGCUCACCAAGCCAACGAUCUGUAGCUGGUCUGAGAGGACGACCAGCCACACUGGGACUGGGACACGGCCCAGACUCCUACGGGAGGCAGCAGUGGCGAAGUUUGGACAAUGGGCGCAAGCCUGAUCCAGCAAUGCCGCGUGCAGGAAGAAGGCCUUCGGGUUGUAAACUGCUUUUGUACGGAACGAAACGGUCCUGGUUAAUACCCGGGGCUAAUGACGGUACCGUAAGAAUAAGCACCGGCUAACUACGUGCCAGCAGCCGCAGUAAGAC
rnacentral:rRNA from 1 species